rnacentral:rRNA from 1 species
UUGAAUUGAAGAGUUUGAUCAUGGCUCAGAUUGAACGCUGGCGGCAGGCUUAACACAUGCAAGUCGAACGGUAACAGGGAGGAGCUUGCUUCUUUGCUGACGAGUGGCGGACGGGUGAGUAAUGCUUGGGAAUCUGGCUUAUGGAGGGGGAUAACUACGGGAAACUGUAGCUAAUACCGCGUAAUAUCUUCGGAUUAAAGGGUGGGACUUUCGGGCC